UACGUAGGGUGCAAGCGUUAAUCGGAAUUACUGGGCGUAAAGCGUGCGCAGGCGGUUGUGCAAGACCGAUGUGAAAUCCCCGGGCUUAACCUGGGAAUGGCAUUGGUGACUGCACGGCUAGAGUGUGUCAGAGGGGGGUAGAAUUCCUGGUGUAGCAGUGAAAUGCGUAGAUAUCAGGAGGAAUACCGAUGGCGAAGGCAGCCCCCUGGGUCGAUACUGACGCUCAUGCACGAAAGCGUGGGGAGCAAACAGG
rnacentral:rRNA from 1 species